rnacentral:ncRNA from 1 species
AUCGGAAUCGCGUAAGUCAAGGCUUACGUGAGCGUGUCUUGUAAAUUCAGUAACCCACUGACGGUGUAAAACCAUCGCGGCAAGCCUGCGUGCGAAGCUGUGUUGCCGUUAGUUAUUGACAAAAAAUCCAUGCGGUGAGUUCGCUCUUAUGCAGCGUCCGACCGUAUGUUUAACAGAGCGGUUACUUCUCC